rnacentral:snRNA from 1 species
UACUCUGGUUUCUUUUCAGAUCGUAUAAAUCUUUCGCCUUUUACUGAAGAUUUCCGUGGAGAGGAACAAUAAAAAAAAUUACACUUAUAGAAAUAACAAAAUCAAAUUAAU